rnacentral:rRNA from 1 species
GACGAACGCUGGCGGCGUGCUUAACACAUGCAAGUCGAACGGUAAGGCCCCAGCUUGCUGGGGUACACGAGUGGCGAACGGGUGAGUAACACGUGGGUGACCUGCCCCGCACUUCGGGAUAAGCCUGGGAAACUGGGUCUAAUACCGGAUAGGACCGCACCGUGAGGGUGUGGUGGAAAGUUUUUCGGUGUGGGAUGGGCCCGCGGCCUAUCAGCUUGUUGGUGGGGUAAUGGCCUACCAAGGCGGCGACGGGUAGCCGGCCUGAGAGGGUGGACGGCCACAUUGGGACUGAGCCACGGCCCAGACUCCUACGGGAGGCAGCAGUGGGGAAUAUUGCACAAUGGGCGGAAGCCUGAUGCAGCGACGCCGCGUGGGGGAUGACGGCCUUCGGGUUGUAAACUCCUUUCACCAUCGACGAAGGUUUUCUGACGGUAGAUGGAGAAGAAGCACCGGCUAACUACGUG